CUGGGAUUCCAGCAGGCAGAGGCUGACAUACAAGCUUAGUUGUUGCCAUGUUUGUUCGUAAUAGCUUCCCUCCGGAAUUAAACGCAACCACCAAACAUGGCAGAAAUGGACCACCAGCAGAAGAUGACGCAUGUGAAGCCUGAGGACUGGUCCCUUCCAGAGAGAAAGCCUAGGACGAGGUGGAGGCUCCCACCAUUUCUCUGAGGGAGCACACAUUUCCUCACCUUGAUGUCAGCACCAGGAGGCUGACAGUGAUAUCCUGUGUGGUGUGCCCGGGAGAACCAGAUGCCAUCACUCUCCCUCUGCAGCGCAUCCUGGCUGUCCUGUUAGCACCACCAUGCCAACCUAAGAACCACUUUUCUACUUGAAUCAACAACUUGUAGCUAUCAUUAUUGGAAUGGCAUUAAAUGUAGAAAUUGGUUUAGGGAGAAUUGACAGCUUUAGUUAUUGUUAUCUUCUACUUUAACACAAAAUAUGCGUUCCUCAUAAGCUUCACAGUCCCAAAUCUUUCGCAGCUCAUCUCCUCCCGUCCUCCAGGGCCAGGUGGCCAUCAGAGGCCCCUCCUGCCAUGCAGUAUGCAGCUGUGGUGAACAGUCCUGACCUGCUCCCGACUUCAGUUUUAAGCGUCUCUUCACUCACAUGGUGUGCGUUUGGCUUGAAAUACAAAUGCACUGCUAUGUUAAACUAGUGUCCACAUCCUCUUGACAUUUCCAUUGCCUAAAGACACAGAGGCCUCCCUGGACAACGCAUCCAGUUUCUCACAAGGUCUGAGCCCCGCCACACACUGGUUCUGCUCUGGGCACCAAGGCUUUGGAGGUGACCACAGCCCUGGUCCCUACCUCACGGUACUUCUGGUUUAAUCAGCAGAACAGAUGCUCAACAGAGAAUCGUCCAGCAGUUCCUCACUAGCGGGUGGGCCAUCUUCCCUGAGGACCUGGCAGGCAGGAAGGAGACAUCCUCCUGCUGGGGAAGAUGUCCUGGUAGAAGACAGGAGGUGUUGGGGCCCAAGUCAGGAAGAAGCUGCCCCACUCCAGGGGUAUGAGGGCGGAUGUGACAUGAGGAGCAAGUGAGGGGAAACGAGGCUGCAGAGACACAGGACGAGGGCGAACAGGCUCCACCAGCAGAGCACAUGGAGCUCUCCAGACACUUCCAUAAAGACAGGGCCAGGGUGGCUGCUGAAGACCAACUUCCAAGACUGAAAAUGUACAUGUCCCACAGACAGAGGUGGCCUCUGCAAAACUGUGAUACGGCAAGGCCUGGCCUCUGCACCCUCCCCAGAUCUCCCAGCAGCAUUUCUGUCCACGUGGGACACAUCCUGAGGACGCCCCUGGGAGUC
rnacentral:lncRNA from 1 species